GUUUUUAGAUUCCUGAAGGCAUCACAAAUUUUGAUUAUGAUAUUCUAUUAUGAUGUCGCCUGAGUGCAACUACUUCCACUUUCUACCUGAAGUAUGGUUCUGACAUGUGGGGCGUAUCUAGUUGAGUUAGCAGGGCCCAUCUCCAAGAAAUCUACAAAAGUUCUAGGACUUACUGGGAGGCCUCUUACACUUAGCUUCUCCAGUUCCAUCAAGUGUUGAAAAAAUAUACUGUAAGCCAAAUCUUGGAGACCACCUGCCCUGAGCAAAUGUCUAGCUGACAUAUGAGAAUUAAACCUGAGCAGAGGUAGCCAUUGCUGGUAACUCCCCAUGAUUCAUGUUUGGCUAUAACCUCAGACUCAUUGCUUUCACCUAAAAUUCUCGAAAAACAAAAGUUGGAGCUAUGGUGAUGUGGAGGGAAAUGCCUGCCAAGACAAGGAAGGAGGGCUUUGCUCCUGUGCUUUAUCAUCCCUCACCACGGAUGACCCAGAGAGAAAAGAUGAUAGAGAUAAAAGAAGCCAAGAGGACAACACGUUUAGAUAAAGAAGGAGAAAUAAAGUUGGAGCCUUGCCCAGGAGCUCUCUCCCAACAUGUAAGCCAAAAUCUGGUCCCACACUGCCUGUUUGCUCACCAAGGCACAGUCACACGACCACACAUUUGUAGAGGACAUCUUCCUAGGUACGACCUAAAACCUGAAGAUCAUCUGUUUUCAGUGACCCUCCCGGGAUUCCCCUUGUCAAUAUGUAACAAGUGACUGAUUAGCAGUGAAGGAUCUAUUUGAUUGCACAAUUUAACUCAACUUUGUUCUUAUAGUAUCACUAGAGAUUCUAAUUGAGGUGAAUGCCUCAAAUUCUGAUAUAAUUACUUUCCAUGCAAUAGCGGUUUUGUAGUUUGCAAGUAUCAAUAGCAUAUUCUAUCCUCCAAGUUAAUUGUUUAUCACCUUAUUAGGUAUAUAAAAGAGAAUGCCAGAGAAGCACGCUCUGGAAAUAUUGAGUAUCACAAUGUAGUUCCAGCUUUGCAGCUAAUCUAUUCAUUCAUUCAUUCAUUCAUUCAUGCAUGCAUGCAUGCAUUUAACAAACCUCUAUUGAGCACAUAUGAUAUUUACCUGUAGAACUUACAUUCUAAUAGAGGAGACAGACAACAGAGGAAAUAAAUAAGUAAAACAUAUUUUGUGUUAGAAUGUG
rnacentral:lncRNA from 1 species